rnacentral:lncRNA from 1 species
CCUUCGAUAAUUUAGUUAAGCAGUGGUAGUGUAAAGCACCAAGCUCUGCUGAUGGUGCAAAUAAUAUGGUUCUCAAGUUACAUCAUCUAUGAUCCAGACUUAGAAGAUGGAGUAAGGAAAACAUGGGCAGCAUUCUGAAGCAUAAGAAAGAAAUGUGCAACAUGAUCACCCAUCUUUGAUGAAAUCAAAAAGCCUCAACCUGCA